AGAGAGAGACAUGCGCGCAUAUCAAUAAGCGGAGGAAAAGAAACUAACAUAGGAUUCCCCUCAGUAACGGCGAGUGAAGCGGGAAGAGCUCAAAUUUGAAAUCUUCAAGGGUUCUACCUUUACGAAUUGUAGUUUAAAGAAGUGUUUUCUGUUGGAGUUUUGGUAAAAGUUCUUUGGAAUAGGACAUCAUAGAGGGUGAGAAUCCCGUAUUUGACCAUUUACUUUCCAGCUUUGUGAUACACUUUCCAAAGAGUCGGAUUGUUUGGGAAUGCAGUCCAAAAUGGGUGGUAAAUUUCAUCUAAAGCUAAAUAUUGGCGAGAGACCGAUAGCGAACAAGUACCGUGAGGGAAAGAUGAAAAGAACUUUGAAAAGAGAGUUAAACAGUACGUGAAAUUGUCAAAAGGGAAGCGUUUGACACCAGUGUUGUUUUCUCGAAAAUCAAUUAAAAAGAGUUAGAUUUUGUUGUGUAUUGACCUUAUCAGCUUUGCAUUUCAUUUUCUUGUCUUUUUUUAAUGCACUUUUCGUUUAACAAGUCAACAUCAAUUUCUUUUGUUGUAAAAGGGUCAUUGGAAGGUGGCUUUCUUUUCGGAGAAAGUGUUUAUAGCCUUUGGCCUCUGCAAUCGGAGAUUGAGGUCUGCAGCGUAGAUCCUUCGGGGUUAGAUACAUUUGUGCUAAGUUAUAGCCUUUCAUAGACAACUUGUUGACUAUGAUCAGUCAUGUAGCUUACUCGCUUAUGCUAUUUUACCUACGCUUAGGAUGUUGAUGUGAUACUGCGAGCA
rnacentral:rRNA from 1 species